rnacentral:tRNA from 1 species
UCCCUGGAGGACUAGUGGUUAGGCCAUGGUGCUCUCACCGCCGCAGCCCGGGUUCAAUUCCUGGCCAGGGAA